rfam:Fulvivirga imtechensis AK7 contig2, whole genome shotgun sequence.
ACAGCGGAUUCUGAAAAGCUGCAACAGAGUAAGAG